UACGAAGGUGGCGAGCGUUGUUCGGAAUCACUGGGCUUAAAGCGCAUGUAGGCGGCUUGGCAAGCGUCAAGUGAAAUCCCUCGGCUCAACCGAGGAACUGCUUGGCGAACUGCCCGGCUUGAGGCAAGUAGGGGUGCGUGGAACUCUUGGUGGAGCGGUGAAAUGCGUAGAUAUCAAGAGGAACGCCGGAGGCGAAAGCGGCGCACUGGGCUUGUCCUGACGCUGAGAUGCGAAGGCUAGGGGAGCGAACGGGAUUAGAUACCCCCGUA
rnacentral:rRNA from 1 species